AGGAAAAGAACCUUCAGAAAAGUUUUGUUCCUUGAACGAACUUCAAAGAUGGAUGAGGUAUUUUGCUUGCAUGUGCCUAAGGUAUUUUGCUUGCAUUUGCAUUUGGGGCUGAAGUAUUAAUUGGUGGUUGAGAAAAGAGGUGGGGGCGGUAGUUGUGGACUGAGGUGAUGGUUGUGGUAUGCAGGCAGAUGCUUAAGAAAGGGUAGGGUUCCAUAGUUGAGGGAGAAGGAGGUGUGGGCGCGGCUGUGUGUUUUGGGUUAGGGAAGGAGAAGGUUGAGUCAGUGGUGGUGGCGGCACUAUUCAGGUUAUUAUCAAAGAUGCUGCUGCUCCGAAUUACACAUCUAGAAAGCCAUGCUCCAAAUUACACAUCUAGAAAGCCAAGUAAAUAAGUUGCAGGUUCUGUGACUGCUUUGUAUUUUUUCUAUCCAAGAACUUACUUUUACAUAAAAGUCUGUGAUAGUGAAGUCUCAUAUUUCAAAUCAAGUGAUAUUAUCUUGGUCAGCUCAAAGGGUUGGAGGGUUUGUCUCAAGAAGAGUUUUUUCUAUGGCUACCUGUGAAGGAUAUCAUUGUAAAUGAUCCAUCAUUAGGUCUCAUUCUCAUUGAUAUUGGUCUUGCCUAUAAACAGCUCUCUUUGCCUCUCUUAGAAGUUCCCCUAAUUUGCAGAUCCUAAGGUAACUGUCUUUUUUGUUUGUGUAUUUAUAGCUGUUAUUUAUUGAUGAUAACUUCAAAUUUGAAUAGAAAUCACUAUGUAAAAGCAUAUGCAUGCUAUUUUCAUCUCAUCCAUUAUUAUUUUUAGCAUAGUUAUUUGCAUCAGUUUCUUUUACUUAAAAAUCAAUUCUGACAAUUGAAGCUACUCACAUCAAUUUCUCCUCAUAAUUGAUUUUAUCUUUAAAAUCAACUAUUGAAGAAUUUUGAAACAUACAAUGAGACCGAAUGUAUUUCAAUUCUCAUCUAUUUUAGCUUCAAAGAUUUUGUUUUGUAUGUAGAAUUUUGAUUUAAAAGUAGAACAGAGCAUUUUCGUUCCUCAGUUUCUCCAAAUUCAGGGAUGUGUGUUUGUUCGUUUUAUUUAUGUGGGUGGUAUUAGGUUCAAUAUCAAGAUUCUUGACCUUAAUCUCAAAGAGGUUCAGUAUAGAUGAGGACAUGUCAUGCUGCAACUGAUGUUGCAGGUCCAAGUAAUGUGAAUGAUAAUAUAUUGUUAGAGGAUGAAUGAAGUUAUAGUAUUGUUGAUUUAGUUAGUGAUGAUGAUUAUGUGGAUGAAGUUGAAGAUAUUGUGGGUUAUGAUCGGUUGAUGUGCACAUUUGAUAUCAAUACUAAUCUCAUAAGUGGCAGGGAACCUCUGAUUAUCCCAGGUUGGGUUCAAAGAGAAUAUUUCAGUGAUAUAACUCCUAUAAUCAAUGUUCUUCUUCCCAAUGGAUCUUGGACCAAGUGGGAACUUUGUUGGUACUCGCUUGGUGGGAGAAGCAAGGUAGCUGGUAUGAAGGGUGAAGUUUAUGGCCGCUGGUUUGAAUUCUACAAGGACACAUUUAAGCGACUUCGAGACACUGUUGCAGGACAUUGGAUGCAGUUAUGAAAAAUGGAGCAACCAAAUAGAUAUAGGGUUGUGGUAUUCGCCCUUUAAUUUUGCAUUAAGAAAUUGUAACUUUUUUGGAUGUUUUAUAACUAUGUAACUAUGUUAGUUAGACCUUCUUUUUAUUUUGCUACUCUGUUUAGUUACAUGUUUCCUUGAAUUUAUCUAAAAGUUGUGCUUUGGCUGUAA